GGGGCUCAGAGUUUCAGUGAGAGGAGUUCUGUCCCAACUAGAUGCCAUUAGGACUCAGCUCCAGUCCAGACCCUCCAUAUCUAGUGAGCCCACUUUUGUUCAGCCUAUCGCCUUCCAUCCUCCGACAUCUUCUACUCAGAUCAGAUCAUCCAAUCGAGUCUGAGGCUGAUUCUAUUUCAGUUGUUAUGAUCUUGAGCUCGAUACCCAUGCUCCCGAAUCUGAUCAUUUUGUAUUAGCUAUUUUAGGUUUCAUACUAUUUAG
rnacentral:lncRNA from 1 species